rnacentral:sRNA from 1 species
GUUAACCGACGUUGAAGAUAAGUCUGAUUCCAUUAUGGUUUUUCUUCUAAUAUAGAAGACAACAAUGUGGAAGGUCUGGCGCACCUGAUGAUGGGCGACCAAGGUAAAAGUAAAGAGGACUGGCUGAAGUUAAGAGUCUUAAAGAGCAGUUGGAUUUGCACUGACCAAUGAGGUGGAAGAAGAGAGAAGCUGAUUGAUCCCAAAGAAAGCCAACACCUAGACUGAUGAAUGUAAUGUAGCUCAUUCAUAAUGUCAUUUUCCUGGAUGUGCUGAAGUGGCUAAAUGAGCAUAGAAGUUAUUUAUACAUUAACAUGGAAAAGAAGAAUAUAUUGCCACGUUCAAAGGAUCUGAAUACUUCUGCUACGACUUGUCUCAAAACCCCAUUCAAAGCAGCAGUGAUGAAAUAACUCUGUCAUUUAAAACCCUUCAGAGGAAUGGACUGAUGCUUCACACUGGGAAAUCGGCUGAUUAUGUCAAUCUUGCCCUGAAAAAUGGAGCUGUCUCUCUGGUCAUUAAUUUGGGAUCAGGGGCCUUUGAAGCACUAGUGGAGCCUGUGAAUGGAAAGUUUAAUGAU